GAUGAACGCUGGCGGCGUGCCUAACACAUGCAAGUCGAACGGACAUUUUUUGGAAAGUUCUUCGGAACUGGAAUCUAAAUGUUAGUGGCGGACGGGUGAGUAACGCGUGAGCAAUCUGCCUUUCAGAGGGGGAUAACAGUGAGAAAUCAUUGCUAAUACCGCAUAUGCCAUGAACAUCACAUGAUGAAAAUGGGAAAAGAGUAAUCUGCUAGUAGAUGGGCUCGCGUCUGAUUAGAUAGUUGGUGGGGUAACGGCCUACCAAGUCGACGAUCGGUAGCCGGACUGAGAGGUUGAACGGCCACAUUGGGACUGAGAUACGGCCCAG
rnacentral:rRNA from 1 species